AAUGUGGUGGUCUGUGGCCUCCUAUUCUCUCGCCCAGAGUGCUUUAUUUGAGCUGGCUGUUGCAAGAAGAAGAUACCUUUCUGAUAUGAAUCUAAACCUCUUAUGACCUUGAGAUUUAGGAACCCUUGUUAUGGAGUAGCCAGAUAACUCUACAUCUCAUGUAUGAAAUUUGGAUGGUCUUUUAAAAGAUUUUGGGCUAAAUACCGGAUUUGAGAAACUACAAGCACAGUCUUCAGGUUAUUUGAUAAUGCAGCUGCUGGUAUUUGCUCCC